rnacentral:rRNA from 1 species
AACGAACGUUAGCGGCGCGCCUAACACAUGCAAGUCGCACGAGAAAGGGCUUCGGCCCCGGUACAGUGGCGCACGGGUGAGUAACACGUGGGUAAUGUUCCCUCGGGCGGGGGAUAACCCUCCGAAAGGAAGGCUAAUACCGCAUAAGACCACGGCUUCGAAAGGAGCCGAGGUAAAAGCAGGCCUCUUCAUGAAAGCUUGCACCUGAGGAUCAGCCCGCGGCCCAUCAGCUAGUUGGCAGGGUAAGAGCCUACCAAGGCUAAGACGGGU